rnacentral:rRNA from 1 species
UACAGAGGGGGCAAGCGUUGUUCGGAAUUACUGGGCGUAAAGGGCGCGUAGGCGGCCUGCUAAGUCGAACGUGAAAUCCCUGGGCUCAACCCAGGAACUGCGUCCGAUACUGGUUGGCUUGAAUCCGGGAGAGGGACGUGGAAUUCCAGGUGUAGCGGUGAAAUGCGUAGAUAUCUGGAGGAAUACCGGUGGCGAAGGCGGCAUCCUGGACCGACAUUGACGCUGAGGAGCGAAAGCUAGGGGAGCAAACGGGG